GUAGAUGCCUUUUUAAGGAUUUGAAUGUGUAAAUUCUACUUUUUGAGGAAAAGGUUAUUGCAGAAGAACCAACUGUAGCAGACACAGUAUUUUUUCUGGUGUAGUGGAAUGGUGAUCUAUUUCACAAGCUGCCUCUCUCCUGGAUGCAGGGCACAGUAUUGUAUAGCCUGACCAAGCUGUCCAGAGGGUAGCAGUGAUCACUGUGCCUGACAGGGGAUAAUAACCCCGCUGACCCAUGCUAUUGUUCUCCUCCCUGGCAGCAUGUCUGUCUGGGACCAACCCAUGACUCCUCCCUCACCCAAAGACAUUUCUUGCUCAACACGUGUGGCUGCACUGAUUCAGGUUUUUCACAGACAGAAGUCUAACACAAAACGCUUGUGUUGUGAAGCUUUUCCUGGGACUGCUUCACUGACAUACGGGGCCUCUACAUGUCUGAGUGGCUUUAGACAUGGCUUUUACUAGUUUGCAACCAUUAUGAGUGGUCGGUCAAUCAGUCAGCCAGUUCACAACUGUCUUACCUUUGAUGGGCAGCUAGAAACCGAAGCCUUACAGUAUUUUGGCUUCUUCUCAAAGCUAUAUUGUCCCUUGGCUCAGUGAGAUGAAGUCCUGGCGGUUGACUAAAAGAGGAAUGUUUAGGCCUGUCAGUGGGAUCAAUUCAUCCCCCCCUGUCUAAUUGUCAGUUCUGUGGAGUUUAAUAAUUGCUUUGCCUUAAGCUAUGCUUCUUUCACUGCUCUCUUCCCACCCACUAAGGACAGUGGAGCUACUGUAGCAUUUAUCUAGAAACACAAAGAACCUUUAUUCACACUGGCUUCUUAAAUUACCCCCAAAAUGUCCCAUUAUUGUUGUUCCUAUUGUUGCAAAUGUUUCAGUAUUCAGUGGCUGAAUUAAAAAUUUAUUUUAUUCAAUUUCUCAGAUAGGGCUUGAGGUUUCUUAAUAGUUUAUAUAUAUACAUCACAAGGGCGGCAGUAGCUCAGUAUGUAGGGACUUGGCUUGGGAACCGGAGGGUCGCCAGUAAAAAAUCCCACUGACCACAAUAUGGUAGCUGGAGAGGUGCCAGUUUCACUUCCUGUACACUGCAGAGGUGCCAAGAGAACUUCCCCCCAGCACGUGGGAUACCAGCUCCACCAAGUAAGCCAUCAGGGUGCCCCU
rnacentral:lncRNA from 15 species